GUGGGGAAUAUUGGACAAUGGGCGAAAGCCUGAUCCAGCCAUGCCGCGUGUGUGAAGAAGGUCUUCGGAUUGUAAAGCACUUUAAGUUGGGAGGAAGGGCAGUAAGUUAAUACCUUGCUGUUUUGACGUUACCGACAGAAUAAGCACCGGCUAACUUCGUGCCAGCAGCCGCGGUAAUACGAAGGGUGCAAGCGUUAAUCGGAAUUACUGGGCGUAAAGCGCGCGUAGGUGGUUUUGUAAGUUGGAAGUGAAAUCCCCGGGCUCAACCUGGGAACUGCCUCCAAAACUGCAUGACUAGAGUACGGUAGAGGGUAGUGGAAUUUCCUGUGUAGCGGUGAAAUGCGUAGAUAUAGGAAGGAACACCAGUGGCGAAGGCGACUACCUGGACUGAUACUGACACUGAGGUGCGAAAGCGUGGGGAGCAAACAGGAUUAGAAACCCCAGUAGUCC
rnacentral:rRNA from 1 species